GGAUUCCCCUAGUAACUGCGAGUGAAGCGGGAAAAGCUCAAAUUUAAAAUCUAAUGGUCCUUGGCCAUUCGAGUUGUAAUUUAGAGAAGCGUCUUCCGCGCCAGACCAUGUACAAGUCUCCUGGAACGGAGCGUCAUAGAGGGUGAGAAUCCCGUCUUUGACAUGGACCCUUGGUGCUUCUGUGAUGCGCUCUCAAAGAGUCGAGUUGUUUGGGAAUGCAGCUCAAAAUGGGUGGUGAACUCCAUCUAAGGCUAAAUAUUGGCGAGAGACCGAUAGCGAACAAGUACCGUGAGGGAAAGAUGAAAAGCACUUUGGAAAGAGAGUGAAACAGUACGUGAAAUUGUUGAAAGGGAAACACUUGAAGUCAGUCGCGUCGAUCGAGACUCRGCCUCGCCUUUGGCUUGGCGUACUUCUCGACUUGACGGGCCAGCAUCAAUUUCRUCCCUCGGAUAAUGGCAGGGGAAAGGUGGCACCUUCACGGGUGUGUUAUAGUCUCUUGUCGCAUGCGAGGGGUGGGAUUGAGGAACUCAGCACGCACCUCACGGUGUCGGGGCUUCGGCCCACGUUACGUGCUCAGGAUGCCGGCGUAAUGGCUUUAAAUGACCCGUCUUGAAACACGGACCAAGGAGUCUAACAUGCCUGCGAGUGUUCGGGUGGAAAACCCGUGUGCGUAAUGAAAGUAAAAGUUGGGACCUCUGUCGUGGAGGGCACCGACGCCCGGACCAGACCUUCUGUGACGGAUCUGCGGUAGAGCAUGCAUGUUGGGACCCGAAAGAUGGUGAACUAUGCCUGAAUAGGGUGAAGCCAGAGGAAACUCUGGUGGAGGCUCGUAGCGAUUCUGACGUGCAAAUCGAUCGUCAAAUUUGGGUAUAGGGGCGAAAGACUAAUCGA
rnacentral:rRNA from 2 species